ACUGUCAAGAUUCCUAAUCCAUCAGCCUAAGCACUAGUCUGGGUGGGUGUAAAAGGAGGAAAAGUAAAAUUGAAGCUGAUUUAAAUUCUCUUAUGGCACACAACCUAGUUUCAAACAAAC
rnacentral:snoRNA from 1 species